CGACAAGUCCAAAUAAUACCCGAAUAAAAGGUUUGUUUUCUAUUGCUGAACUGGCUGCACUAGUUCAAAAAGUGUACACUGAAACGUUUUCUAUUGCAGAACUGGUGUCAUUACUUCUGUUCGUUAUUGCAGUGCAGCCAAACUCAGUGCAACAAUUCACUGAACUGGUUGCACUGGGUUUGAAGUCAGUGCAGGAGUUCAAGAACUGAAAAUUGAGAGUAUCGGCGGUUAAUUCAAAAUUUAUCACGAGAAGAUCUUAAUAAAAGCAAUGUCAAGCAUACAAGAAAUGGCAAAUUUAAGAACGGACGCAGUGGGAAACAUUUUAGUCGACGAAAAUGGAUUUGCCACAUGUAUUUCUGAAGGAGGGCUACAAUUUCAAAUUGCAUACAAUGAAAUUGAUUUUACGUGUGACACUAUUCACUGCUUUUUUGAUAACAAAGAAUUAAUAAUACCCUUACAUAAGAAUGUACAAGGAAAUGUUAACAUAUUAGAAAAUGAAAAUAACGUGGUAAGCUCUGAAAAGAGUACAAAUAAAAGUGAACCUGAAAAGUUACAUGAAGGAUCUUUCUCUUGGACAGAUGCAAGCAUAAAAUUGUUCUUAUGUUUAUAUAAAGAUAAAAAAGAUCUUGUUUCACUGAGAAAAAUAAAAACAAAAAAAAUUCUAUGGCAAAAAAUUUCUGAGGAAAUGAAAAUAAACGGAUAUAAUGUGUCUUGCAUACAAGUGGAAAACAAAUUUAAGUCGUUAGAACGAUCAUUCAAGAACAUUGUAACACAUAAUAAAAAAACUGGUAGAAAUAAAAUAAGUUGUCCCUAUGAGAGAGAGUUGACAGAAUUACUUGGGGAAAAACAUAAUAUUGAGCCUUUAAUGUUAUUGGGAAAUAAAGGUAUAAUUGCAAAACAAGGUGCAGCAACCACAUCUUCGUAAGUUUGCUAUUUCAUUUAAAUAAGGAGAACUAAUUUUUCUAAGAUAUUAGCAUAUAUCUCAUUAAUCAUAAUAUUAUAUAAUGUAAAUAAAUCAAUAUAUGUUUUGCUUUGCUAAUGAUAUAAUAUAUGUAAAAAUCUAUACAACAUUUUCCAUAUGAGAUAGCUUUAUUCACUUUUUCAAAUGUUACAGUUCUGAAGUGCAUUCAGAUAUAGAAAAUAAUUAUAAUAGUUUAAAUAGAAAAAUAACAACUGAGAUACCUGUAAACGAUAAUGCAACAUUGCAAUUUGAAUCUAAUGCAUCGAUGGAUAAUAUAUCGUUGGAUAAUGCAUCGAUGGAUGUUGCAAGCAGUGUAAGUGACACUACCGAUACUUGCAAAGUAAGUGGAAAAUGAUACAGGUUUAGAUAUACUAUUAUUCUAUAUACUUUGUGUGGUCAAAUUAUUUAUUUAUUGUAAUAUUUUCUUAUGACAAAGUAAUAACAAUUUAUAUUCAUUUAAAAUAGGCAAUAAGUAAGAGAAAAAUGGGUACAACGGCACGAAUGUUGCAUAUGUGUCAAGAUAGCUUGAAAACCUAACGAAGGACAUACAUGAAGACAAUUAUAAAAAAUGUGAGAUGCUACGAGAAACAUUGGACGAAUACAAGCAAAUGAGAAAGU